GGCUCCUGCGAGGUCCUAGAGCGGGCUGGGUGCUCAAGCCCUCUCCCGGCGACGCCUGCCCUGACAACUUCUAAAGAGCCAGCCCGCCCCUGGGGAAAAGCGGAGGAAUCCUCUUUGGUCUCUUGCGCCUCAAAGGAAUGCCUAUGAUCAUCCAAGGAGAAUGCUGAGUGAGAAGGCCACCCACAGAAACCAGGGACACUGACACUCAAGGCACAGGCAGAAGAAAAGAUGCUUCAAAAGAAACCUGAGGAGGAACUGCUCUAAAGGAAAGAGAAGCCAGAAGAGGUAGGCACCAUGGAAAUCACUGAGAAGAACUCCAAAAAGCAAGUAGUCAAAUGCCAGACCUGUCACAGGACAAGCAAGAUUAUUACUUACAAAGGAGGGGCAGUACCUUUACCGUGGACCACUGAGUUAUCAGAAAUAACAUUACCAGUAACAGAACAAAAUGACAUCAUGUAUUCUCCUACUGUGAAGCACUGGUGAAAGAUACAACCUCUCCAUUCCUGCCAUAAACCCGUAUCCUGAAUCUAAUUAUAUGAAAAGCAAAAAAACCAAAAUGGAACAAAAACAAAAACAAACAUCUACAAAUAAUUCUACGACCCGCCUUCUUCAAAAUGGUCAAGAUCAUGACAGACAAAAGCUAAGGAAUUAUUCUAGAUAAAGGGCACUAAAGUAAUGUGACAACACAAUGAGAUUCUGGAUUGGAUUAUGGAUUGAAGGGGAAAUUCUACAAGGAACAUUCGGGCAACUGACAAAAAUCUGAAUAUAAAUUAUAUGUAUUAUAUUAUUCUGUAAUAAUAUUUUUCUGAAAUUGAUCAUUUUAGUGUGAUUAUAUAACAAGAUAUCCUUGUUCUUAAAGGAUACACACUGAAAUAUUUAGAGCUAAAGAAUUAGUGACUAUAAAUUAUAAACAAUUCUGCAAAAAAACUAAAAUUAGUAAAUAACAUUAAAUAACAUAUAAAAGGAUGUGACUGGUGAAUCUAAAUAGAGGACAUGUUCAUGUCCUAUUCUUGAAACUUUCCCAUAGGUUAGAAACUUUUCAAAAUAAAAUGAAAGACAAAUGGUAUGUAGAAGAAGGUAUUCCUCUUUAGUGCCUGACAAGUAGUAAUCUACCCUUGUCCAAGUAACUAAUCAUGCGAACUCACUAUACCUUGAAAUGCAACCCAAGCCAUUAUUACAUGCACAGGACCAAAAGAUAACUCCUGGCACUCCACCAACUUAGUCAACCUGGCUCUGGUCUGGCGCAAAUAAGACCACAAUGUAACAGUUCUUUAUAUACGUAAGUAUGAUUUGGUUGUACUAUUUCCUAUCUCUAAUGUAUUAUCCUACCAUGUGGUUCCUGUUCUACUUAUAGUCUUCGAAGUUAGAUGCACUCCCUGAAGUCUGGCCCAUUUGAGGCUAUAUGCACAAAUUCUGUCUGGCUAAUGUGAUCUCAUCAGAGAAGAAUCAAUUAAGUUUCUACUUCCAUUUCCCAGGCUGGCAGCACUUUAUUAGCUGACAAAUCAUAAUGUCCAUAAGUCAACUAGGCCCUUGUCCUUAUCAGUUCUGGAUUUGGGGAGGCAGUAAAACAGGUCUUUAUGAUUGGCCCCAUCAAAUGGCAACUUGUCAGACUAACAUUCCACUCUGAUAGGAGAACCUCAGUUCCAGGUUCUUGUCUUGUUACAAUUAACACGACAGGGGCACUUGGCUGGCUCAGUGGGUUGAACAUGCAAUUCUUAAUCUCAAGGUCAUGAAUUUAAGCCCUAUGUUGAACAAAGAGAUUGCUUAAAAAAAUAAUAAGAUGACAGGACACAGUCAAGAAAAGGACCUCGUCCUCUCAGAUCACAAUAUAUUAAAGGGCAGGGAUCACAUGUAAUAUGUGCAAUCUCCCCCAAAUCACAUAAUAUAGAGCCUUACAGAAGAUGUUUUAUGUUGAUAUGCUUGUUCAUUUUAAAUGGAAGGGUUUUAUUACAAAAGCAAGAGUGAGUUAAGACAGUGAACUAAGGAUUCUGAACAAGCAGACAUUAUUUGAACUGGAAAACAAGAGAACAUUUUAGUUUUCAGGAACUGGAAAGCAGUAAAAAGAUACUGGUUUUUACAUAGCUAAAAAAUACUAAUUAAGAAAUACCCUUUAAAUACAAAAUUAACUUGCCUUUCUCCGAAUUACAAAGCAAAGAAACACAAGAUAUGUGCUUUCUAUUAUAAAGUAGAAAUUAAGAAAUCUCUUCUCUAGCAUAGAAAUACUACCAAAAAAAAAAAAUAAUAAUAGUAGUAAUUAUAGCAAAGUCGUGGCCAUUCAGAGGAUGGCCUAACACAUGAGUCUCCCAACAUAAGCAUCAUAAUGUUUGUUUUGUUCUUAGAAAAACUGUUCCAAGUUAUUGCAGACUCCUAUCUUCUUUAACACAAUUUAAUACCUGAAGUUCCUAACAAUGAUGCUGAUCCAUCAAGAAAUUACUGUUGGCUGCUGUCCUACAGUGACAUCCUCAGGACAAUGGAGCCAGCCAGAUGGUCUUCCCUGCUAGCUGCACCUCCUUCUCUAGCCUGCACUUCUGUAUUCCUUCAUUAUGAGGCUUCUGCAGCUCACUAGCCAUAUUCCUACUCAGGUUUCUCCUUUUCUACGCUUUAUUUUGUUAAAGGUUUGAUCAUACAACAUAAUGGCAAAUUUUAAAAAUGUUUUAGUUUGAGGGUGUGAGGAAACUCCUAAUUUUGUGGCUAAUCAAAGACUCCAAGAUUACCUUAUCAUUAGAGCAUAAGCUCAGUGUCAUCUACUUGGGUAUCCCAGAAGCUAUCUACAUACAUUUUUUACCUUGCCAAUUGCUAAAAUAAAUGCUGUUUAUAUUAAGAUCCA